UACGUAGGGUGCAAACGUUGUCCGGAAUUAUUGGGCGUAAAGAGCUCGUAGGCGGUCUGUCGCGUCGGCUGUGAAAACUCGGGGCUCAACUCCGAGCUUGCAGUCGAUACGGGCAGGCUAGAGUUCGGCAGGGGAGACUGGAAUUCCUGGUGUAGCGGUGAAAUGCGCAGAUAUCAGGAGGAACACCGGUGGCGAAGGCGGGUCUCUGGGCCGAUACUGACGCUGAGGAGCGAAAGCGUGGGGAGCGAACAGG
rnacentral:rRNA from 1 species